GGCCACAUCAUGUUGAAACACUGGUUCCUGUGCAAUCACCAAAGUUAAGCAAUGUCAAGCCUGGUCAGUAGUUAGAUGGGUGACUGCCUAGGAAUACUAGGUGCUGUAAG